AGUUGAGAUCAAACCAGCACUAAAGCAUUGGAUCCUAUCAGAACUCCAAAGUUAAGAGUGCUUGGGCAAUAGUAGUACUAGGAUGGGUGACCCCCUGGGAAGUUCUUGUAUUGUACUCU
rnacentral:rRNA from 1 species